rnacentral:rRNA from 1 species
UGCAGAGGUCUCAAGCGUUGUUCGGAUUCAUUGGGCGUAAAGGGUGCGUAGGCGGUGAGGUAAGUCGGAUGUGAAAUCCCGGGGCUCAACCCCGGAACUGCAUUCGAUACUGCUUUACUUGAGGACUGGAGAGGAGAUUGGAAUUCACGGUGUAGCAGUGAAAUGCGUAGAUAUCGUGAGGAAGACCAGUGGCGAAGGCGAAUCUCUGGACAGAUCCUGACGCUGAGGCACGAAGGCUAGGGGAGCAAACGGG